CUGAACCUUGCAGCAAGUAGCAUGCCUGGAGAUCUUAGCCUAUGGAUAAUGAAGCAUUACGACCCUGAUAUUUCAUACAUAGUCAUUCCAGAAAGGGGGAAUAUUCCUGUAGAUGCCACAAGUGUCCGUAGGGUAUGGGGUUUUCCAAAUAGGGGCAGGAAGGUGUGUUUUGAGAAUCAACUUGAAAUCACAAAGGCAAUGUACAUUAUUUACAAUAUCACCUCCAAGAACUCCCCAACUCUCACAACAUGGUGCAAGAUGAUCAAAGGUAUGGGAGUAUCUCAUGAUGAUGACUUUGUCCGUGCUUGGCUAGCUCUUGUUUUUUGUGCUUCGUUGCCCCUUCAACUAGUUUAA
rnacentral:rRNA from 1 species